UGGAACUCGGCAAAUUAGCACCGUAACUUCGGGAGAAGGUGCGCCCUGGUAGCGUGAAAGCCCUCGCGGCUGGAGCGUGAAAGGGUUGCAGUGAAAUGGUGGCUGCGACUGUUUAAUAAAAACACAGCACUCUGCAAACACGAAAGUGGACGUAUAGGGUGUGACGCCUGCCCGGUGCCGGAAGGUUAAGUGAUGGGGUGCAAGCUCUUGAUCGAAGCCCCGGUAAACGGCGGCCGUAACAAUAACGGUCCUAAGGUAGCGAAAUUCCUUGUCGGGUAAGUUCCGACCUGCACGAAUGGCGUAACGAUGGCCACACUGUCUCCUCCUGAGACUCAGCGAAGUUGAAAUGUUUGUGAAGAUGCAAUCUCCCCGCGGCAAGACGGAAAGACCCCAUGAACCUUUACUGUAGCUUUGCAUUGGACUUUGAACCGGUCUGUGUAGGAUAGGUGGGAGGCUUUGAAGCUGGGACGCUAGUUCUGGUGGAGCCAACCUUGAAAUACCACCCUGGUUUGUUUGAGGUUCUAACCAUGGCCCGUGAAUCCGGGUCUGGGACCGUGCAUGGUAGGCAGUUUGACUGGGGCGGUCUCCUCCCAAAGUGUAACGGAGGAGUACGAAGGUACGCUAGGUACGGUCGGACAUCGUGCUAAUAGUGCAAUGGCAUAAGCGUGCUUGACUGCGAGACCCACAAGUCGAGCAGGUACGAAAGUAGGUCAUAGUGAUCCGGUGGUUCUGUAUGGAAGGGCCAUCGCUCAACGGAUAAAAGGUACUCUGGGGAUAACAGGCUGAUACCGCCCAAGAGUUCAUAUCGACGGCGGUGUUUGGCACCUCGAUGUCGGCUCAUCACAUCCUGGGGCUGUAGCCGGUCCCAAGGGUAUGGCUGUUCGCCAUUUAAAGUGGUACGUGAGCUGGGUUUAAAACGUCGUGAGACAGUUUGGUCCCUAUCUGCCGUGGGCGCUGGAAAUUUGAAGGGACCUGCUCCUAGUACGAGAGGACCGGAGUGGACGAACCUCUGGUGUACCGGUUAUGACGCCAGUCGUAUCGCCGGGUAGCUAAGUUCGGAAGAGAUAAACGCUGAAAGCAUCUAAGCGUGAAACUCGCCUUAAGAUAAGAUUUCCCUGGGGACUUGAUCCCCCUGAAGGAUCGUCGAAGACCACGACGUUGAUAGGCUGGGUGUGGAAGCGCAGCAAUGCGUUAAGCUAACCAGUACUAAUUGCCCGUGCGGCUUG
rnacentral:rRNA from 1 species